CACAGAGGCCAAACCUCCUUGUCAAAGCCUGAUCUCGUCAGAUCUCUGAAGCUAAGCGAGGUCGGGCUUGGUUUGUUCUUGGUCGUUGUGU
rnacentral:rRNA from 1 species